CGUUUUUGCCCGCUUCGGGUGCUUCCUCCCUAGACUUGGGCCGCUGCGGCGUCGCACGGCCCCUUUUACGCUGCGUA
rnacentral:sRNA from 1 species